rnacentral:lncRNA from 13 species
UCUGAAUACACAUGGAAAGAGUGUGCAGAAGAUGUGAGCAGCCCUACGGAGAUUAGCUGGCUUUCUCCAGCAACAGUGAGGUUUAUGUCUCUCUGUAUCGUAGAGGAGGCUGGAGGUCACAAGAAGCUGGGAUGGGACACAGGCAGGACAGCUAACCACAACUGGCCAAAGGCAUAUUCCAUACCACAGGAUGUCAUGAUCAGCAUAUUAACUGGGGAGAAAUCUUGCCAGGAGGACCACUGCUCAGGAACUAGUGGGCAUCCAGCCAUUGGUGGUAGAAACAACAUCGCCAACUGGAUGUCUAAAGGGGAAGAGGGGCAAAAGAGCAUGUCUCCAGAAUGCUGAUAUUGUCCAGAUUUUAUGUGAAGGUAAAGCAGAACACAAGGUAAUGUUAUUCUGUCCUCUCUUUGUUCUUCUAGGACUAUUUGUAACUUUUUUGGUUGGAAGUCUUUCAUGACAUGGGAUAGGUUCUCAAUCCAUCUGGCAUGUGCUUCUUGUAUCUUGGGCAGAAGUGCUUAAGGUGUCCCUUGGUUUUAGUCUUUGUUAUCCUGCAUCUCUCUUGUGGAAGGUAUUACCUUUCCUUCCCAUGUCCAGGGACUGUCUUGUUUUAUUUUGGUCUUUUGUAUCAAAAUAUGCGUUAUAUCAUCUAUUUUUAUCCUAGAAUUAGCAACUUAUUUCAUUAAUGUGUAUAAGACCUGCAGACAGGAUGUGAUUAAUGCUUGUUACCUCUCAUUAAUUUAUAUUAGAUACAUAUAUAUUAUAUCAGAAAACCAACCCUUUAAUUCUGAUCUCUCUUGAAAAUUCAAAGACAAUCUUGAUUACAUCUCAGCUACCAGUUAUUGAGCAAAUCAUGCCUACACUGGAACCAAUCCAAUUGCUUAGAUUGCUAGUCGCUUGCACAAACUAAACAGUGUGCCAGAUAGAGCAGCAUUUUAUGAAUGUACAAAAUGCUACAUAAAUAGAUCAGAGUUAAAUGGGUACGGGAGAUCAUUUUUUACUGACAGAUCAAUAGAUUCCUAAGUGCAUUUCUUAGUAUGAAAUACCAUUUUGCUGAGAGCUUUGUUGUCCUGGCAGUGUCUGAUACACAGUGAGGGACAUUCUUUGUAUUAUCAUAGUCAAUUUCAGCUCCUGGUAUUUUUGUUUCUGACUCUCUCCAACUACACUCUUCUGUGUGUUUGCUACCAAUGUUUCUCUAUGCUACUUGCAGAUUCAAUUUUAUUUUUUUCCUCUGAAUUCUUAUUUCUUAGUGCUUGGUUAAUGUCUCACAAAGUUUCUGAAAACAGUUAGUUAGGUGUUAGGAAAUGUACUAAAACCCAUCCCAGCAGCUGAAUGACACCUAGGUUAGAUAUUUGCAAGCUCCCUUAUUAAUUUUCACUGUGAAACUGUUAAGGUACUGACCAAAUAUUUUAU